rnacentral:rRNA from 1 species
UUAAUUGAAGAGUUUGAUCAUGGCUCAGAUUGAACGCUGGCGGCAGGCCUAACACAUGCAAGUCGAGCGGUAACAGAAAGUAGCUUGCUACUUUGCUGACGAGCGGCGGACGGGUGAGUAAUGCUUGGGAACAUGCCUUGAGGUGGGGGACAACAGUUGGAAACGACUGCUAAUACCGCAUAAUGUCUACGGACCAAAGGGGGCUUCGGCUCUCGCCUUUAGAUUGGCCCAAGUGGGAUUAGCUAGUUGGUGAGGUAAUGGCUCA